AUAGAACAAACUGGAAGCAUGGGGAUGGUGGCUCUAUGAGGCUGCUCUGGGGAGCUACUAGGUCUCCUUGAAAGAUUUAAAUCCCAACAGAAGGUAAAGAUCAAGAAAUAUUUGACAAGACCACUAUUAAUUACCAUGCAGACACCAUAUACAUAAAUAUCAAGUUGUAAGUGAAAAGUCCAGGGGUAUAUGGACUUCAGGAAUGGCUGGAUCCAGAAGUCCCCUUUUCUCAGUGUCUCUGCUCUGUCUUCAGGCCCUUACAAGACGGCUGUAGAGACGGGGUCUCGCUCUGUCACCCAGGCUGGAGUGCAGUGGUGCCAUCAUAGCUCACUGUAGCCUCGAACUCCUGGGCUCAAGGGAUCCUCUCCCCUCAGCUUCCUGAGUAGCUGGGACCACAGGCUCACACCACUAUACCCAGAGUCACAAAGGAGACCUCAGAGCCAGGAAGUGAGAGCUAAUAAGGACCUCAAACAUCCAUUUUACAAAUGAGGCUGCUCCCCUUCUUAGCCCUGCGGCCUGGAGAAAGUGGUUUCACCUCCCUGAGCCUCAGUCUUCCCAUCUGUACAAUGGGUACAACAUCACCUCCCUAAAAGGCAAACCCAGGGUGGGGACCACAUUGCAAGGAACUGUGGCCAGCCUCUUGAAGCUGAGAGCAGAAUCCAGCCAACGGCAAGAAGCCAGGCACCUCAGUCCUGCAGCCACAAGGAAAUGAAUCCUGCUAGCAACCCAAGAAGGCUUAGAAAUGGAUCCUUCCCCAGUUGAGCCUCUGAUGAGACCAUAGUCCUGGUUGACACCAAAACUGUAACCUUGUAAGAAACCCUAAUGCAGGGGCCCCAGCUAAGCCAUGCUCGGAUUCCCAAUCCGUGGGAACUGUAAGAUAAUAAAUGUGUUGCUUGAA